rnacentral:rRNA from 1 species
ACAUCUCUUUUUGWAAAAUAUAAAAAGUUUAACCUGCCCCCUGAUAAUUUAAAUGGCCGCAGUAUAUUGACUGUGCAAAGGUAGCAUAAUAAUUAGUCUUUUAAUUGAAGGCUGGAAUGAAUGGUUGGACGAAAUAUUUACUGUUUCAUUAAAAUUAUUAUUAGAAUUUUAUUUUUAAGUAAAAAAGCUUAAAUUUUAUUAAAAGACGAGAAGACCCUAUAAAUCUUAAUAAUUAUUAAUUUAAAAUUUAUUAGAAUAUAAAUAAUUUUGAUUAAAAUAAUUAUUUUAUUGGGGUGAUGUUAAAAUUUAAUAAACUUUUAAUUUUACUAACAUUAAUUUAUGAAUAUAUGAUCUUAUAAUAUAGAUUAUUAGAAUAAGUUACUUUAGGGAUAACAGCGUAAUUUUUUUGGAGAGUUCAUAUUGAUAAAAAAGAUUGCGACCUCGAUGUUGGAUUAAGAAAUAAAUUUGGGUGCAGAAGUUCAAAAUUUUAAGUCUGUUCGACUUUUAAAUUC